UACGGAGGGUGCGAGCGUUAUCCGGAAUCACUGGGUUUAAAGGGUGCGUAGGCGGCUCGGUAAGUCAGUUGUGAAAGCCCCUUGCUUAACGAGGGAGGUGCGAUUGAUACUGUCGAGCUUGAAUCGGGAUGAGGCAGGCGGUAGGUGGCAUGUAGCGGUGAAAUGCAUAGAUAUGCCAUAGGACACCGAUUGCGAAGGCAGCCUGCUGGGCCUGUAUUGACGCUGAGGCACGAAAGCGUGGGGAGCAAACAGG
rnacentral:rRNA from 1 species